rnacentral:rRNA from 1 species
ACGGGUGAGUAACACGUGAGGAACCUGCCCCGAAGACCGGGAUAACACCGGGAAACCGGUGCUAAUACCGGAUGUCCUCAUCAGAUCGCAUGGUCUGAUGAGGAAAUGGAUUCCGCUUCGGGAUGGUCUCGCGGCCUAUCAGCUUGUUGGUGGGGUAACGGCCUACCAAGGCAACGACGGGUAGCUGGUCUGAGAGGAUGUCCAGCCACACUGGGACUGAGACACGGCCCAGACUCCUACGGGAGGCAGCAGUGGGGAAUCUUGCGCAAUGGGCGAAAGCCUGACGCAGCGACGCCGCGUGCGGGAUGAAGGCCUUCGGGUUGUAAACCGCUUUCAGCAGGGACGAUUGUGACGGUACCUGCAGAAGAAGCCCCGGCCAACUACGUGCCAGCAGCCGCGGUAAUACGUAGGGGGCGAGCGUUGUCCGGAUUUAUUGGGCGUAAAGAGCUCGUAGGCGGUUCGGUUAGUCGGGUGUGAAAUCUCCACGCUCAACGUGGAGGGGCCACUCGAUACUGCCGUGACUCGAGUCCGGUAGAGGAGUGUGGAAUUCCCGGUGUAGCGGUGAAAUGCGCAGA